UUCUCGCUACUGCUUUUUCCUCUAUUACGAAAGAGAAAUCCAAAGUUCCUUUUUAAUCCUGCCUUCAUAUACUGCCAGUUGAAGUGAAUCCAUAUUAUUCACUUUAUAUGUGGCUUGCACCCAACUCGAGCCUCCUGGCAUGUUGCCGUUUUCCUCUAUUACGAAAGCCAUGUGUGUUGAGUUUGCUCUCCUUUACUUCAUCAUCCGUAAAAUGACUCUUUCCGUGUAGCGGAGCACAGCAUUUUACGAAUGAGGAGUAAAGAGAGAAUAGAGAAUUGUUCUCCACUAUGAUCGAUCGUUCGCUACUGCUAGCAGUCAAAAAAAAAAAAAAAACAGAUGGCCCCAUGCGUUAUCUUCUAUUCUCGCUACUGCUUUUUCCUCUAUUACGAAAGAGAAAUCCAAAGUUCCUUUUUAAUCCUGCCUUCAUAUACUGCCAGUUUAAGUGAAUCCAUUCUGCUCCUCGAGACGGCCUUGUGAAGGUCGGGAGGGCGUUGCCCGGCCUUGAGUGAGUGACCGAGCGAUGUCAGCUUGUGCGUACAUCAAGCUAUAUAUAAAAACACAUUUCUUAUCACUUAAUGCAACUUGGAGAGUGAUUGAGUGCACUACACGUACUAGCUGCGGAGGAGGGCUAUCACAAUUGGACUGCAUACUCCACAGAGGUCACCGCUAACAUUAUUGAUUCAUUUUCUCACCUCACUACUCAUAAGCAGUUGUGCUCUCGUGAAGGAACCUUACCUGCAUCGAGAAAAUCAUAGCCGAGGUGCUAGCUGAGAGAAGCCUAUCCGAUUAUUUCAUUUCGUCAAAUCAACACAU
rnacentral:lncRNA from 1 species